UGCCAAUAUUGGCCCAAUAUUGCUUUGUUUUUAUUACUCAAAUAUUGGCCAAUAUUGAGAUUUUUACAUAUUGGUACGCAGGCGUAACAUUAUUGCUUAUUCAUAAUGUCCUUUAGUUUUGUCCUUUGAUGUCCACAAUACUUUUAAUAGAAUAUUUACAGAUAGAAUCACGAGAAGAAGUGGUAAAAGUAAAGAAAUCCUUUUAAUUGAAAAUUUAGAGAUUGUAUCACGAAAAGAAGUGGUUGUAAUUUAUUUAAAACAGAUUGAAUCACGAGAAGAAGUGGUUGCAGUUCAUUUAGAAACAGAUUGUAUCACGAGAAGAAGUUAAAAAAUAUUUCUGUGCUCUAAGAUAAAAAUUGAAAUAGUAAUGAAAAAAUCAAUAAAAACAACUCGAUCUGCUAAAUCACAUUAUAUUAGAAGAGUAGUAAAGCAACAUUUAAAUGAAAUUCACUCAACAAGUAAUGUUGAAAAUACGAAUGAAUUACUUAACUGUGGAAAUUCAAUAAACUUCAGUGAUGAGUCUAUUAACCAUAAUAUGUUAUAUCAAAAUUCUUAUAAUUAUUUGGCUGAAGACACAUUAAAAUCCUCAAAUGUUGAGUUUGGUGACAUAUCAUAUUUUGAUGAAAACCAACCCUCGAAUUUGACUAAUAGUUUUGAUGAUGACUGUAACAUAACUGAUGAUGAGCAUGGCUACUAUCCUUCAUGUUCCAGUGACAAUGAAGAGGCUCAGGAUGAAGUUACUUUAAAAGAACUGCUUAUUUGCUGUAAAAUUGAAGAUGACAGCAAAAAUUAAAAAAUUCGCUGUGGCUGAAUUUCUUGAUGAAAAAAAAAAAAGUUUGUGUGCCAUGGACGUUAUCUGUUCGUCAUGGCUGAUCAAUGAAAGUUUAGUGUUUUGACCCAAUCAUUUGGGAUCAUCUCGCCUUUUAACUGCCAUACGCGAAGCCACACUUACUCCUGAAAGUAAUUGGAAACAGUUAAAAAUAAGAAUUCUUUAUUAUUCUGGUAAUUGUCGUUAUUAUGUUAUUAUUCCUUGUUUAAUUUUACAUUACACACAUGCUAGAUGCUAAUGAUCUAAACAGAUAGAAUUCACAUCAAGCGUUGAAACAGCUGCUGAAAGUGAUGAAGAAUUGUCUAUGCCACCAGCUAAAAAGUUAGCAGUUUGCAAUACAAGUGACACUGAGGUUUAUCCAUCAGUUUCCCCAAGAUUGAAGAAAUCUUUUAAUUGCCAAAAUAUUUUACAACCCACAACUGUUUGAUAUAUUGAGCCAUUUAGUUCGAAUCAUUCUAUACCGAUAUCUUCCUCUUCUGACCAGAGCUUGGCAACUGUUGUGGCUGCUUUAGGCACCUGAUUUUCUGCAUUUGAGAAGAAAAGUUUAGAGCUGCUUGUCAGUAUUCAAUAUGAUUUAAAAAAGUUAAACACUUGCCUAAUCAAUUUAGAAAAAAGCUUAGUGUUUCCUUCUACUGUUAGCAAUCAGAGCAUAGCAGGACCAUCCCCAUCAGUUCAAUUAUUUGCCUGUUAAAGAGGAAAAAGAACUUUUAGACCUGGAUGAAAAAUUAUAGAACAAAGACACCUAUGAAUCUUUGAUGAACUUCCUUGCAUCGGUUGGAGGCGACGAUUACAAGCAACUUACCACGGCUAUUUUAAAACAACUAUUGACUAAAAAAGUAUGCUUGUUAUAUUUUUUGUAUGGCAGGAAACAAAAGAAAUCCUUUUCGUCUCUUACGUCCUGCAAGGUGGUUAUAGCUGCCAUAAAAAAAAAGUUUGAAAACGCUAAUGAUAAGAGCAUUAAAGAAAGAAUCGGCAGCUUUCUGGCUACGGCCAUUGAUAGAGACGGCGGAAGAAAGAAUAGAACCGCAAUUGAGCAAAGCCCACUUGCGAUGAUGAUGAUGAGAUGAGCGAUGAAAAUGAAUGUCGCGAAGAUAAUGCCCAUUAACUGAUAGUGAAUCAAUGCCCAUUAUCUGAUAGUGAGGGUGUAAUGUAAUAAAUAUAAUAUAUAUA